UAGAAUCAGAAGUCACUUCACUGGAUAGGUACUUUAAACUGGAAAGUGGAAUGGGUUACACUCCAUUUAUCAAAUGGAGUGUGUAUUUGGUGUUGACGUCCCCGAACCGCAAAUUCCGAAAUGGUGGAUCUGGUUUUACUAUCUAAUGCCUACAUCUUGGUCCCUAAACGGCAUGCUUUCUUCGCAAUAUGGCGAUAUAGAGAAGGAUAUUGAGAUUUUUGGAGAAAAGAAAACAUAGGCAACCUUAAUGAGGGAUUAUUUUGGAUAUCACCAUGAUCAAUUACCCAUUGUGGCUGUAGUGCUGAUUCUGUUCCCUCUUUGUUUUGCCUGUUUAUUCACACUUUGCAUUUAGAAGUUGAACUUUCAAAGGAGGUGCUAGAAAUUGAAAUAUCUGGCUGGUUUAUGCUUGUGCAGAAAAACAUGUUAAAUAUUCACUUUUACUAUAAUGUUUUGAGAGAAUAUUGUAUUUUCAAUGGGUAGAUAUGAGGAUAUCAUACAUAUUUGUAGAUUUCUUAUGA